rnacentral:snoRNA from 1 species
GAAUGGAUAUGAUGAACGAACUUUGUUUCCCUAUUGGUUUGAUCGCCGAUAUGAUGGCAUCUUACGUAUUAGCUCUAUCUGAUCAUUC